AGUUGGUUAGAACGCCUGAUUGUGGUUCAGGAGGUCGCCGGUUCGAGUCCGGUCUUCCA
rnacentral:tRNA from 1 species